rnacentral:rRNA from 1 species
GACGAACGCUGGCGGCGUACUUAACACAUGCAAGUCGAGCGGUAAGGCCCUUUCGGGGGUACACGAGCGGCGAACGGGUGAGUAACACGUGGGUGACCUGCCCUCAGCUCUGGGAGUAAGCCCGGGAAACUGGGUCUAAUACCGGAUAUGACUUCAUGACGCAUGUUGUGGAGUGGAAAGCCUUGUGCGGCUGAGGAUGGGCCCGCGGCCUAUCAGCUUGUUGGUGGGGUGAUGGCCUACCAAGGCGACGACGGGUAGCCGGCCUGAGAGGGCGACCGGCCACACUGGGACUGAGAUACGGCCCAGACUCCUACGGGAGGCAGCAGUGGGGAAUCUUGCGCAAUGGGCGAAAGCCUGACGCAGCGACGCCGCGUGAGGGAUGAC